AAAAAAAAAAAAUUUUUUUUGUUUUUUUUUUUUUUUUUUUUUUUUUUUUUUUUUUCUUUUUAAUUUUAUCAUCGUUGUCGAGAAUCAACGAUAUAAAAGUCGAUCGGUUGGUAGUAUUUACCAGCCGACGCUCACUGUACCUACUUACAAGUACCUUUUUCCGACGAUUGUUGAGAGAAUGGAGAAUAUGAGGAGAGAUGAAAUUAUAUAUUGCUGUUACGCGUUGACAAAAAACGAUCGUCAUAGUCAAAAAAAAAAAAAAAAAAAAAAAAAAAAAAAAAAAAAAAAAAAAAAAAAGUUCAGAGACUCGUAUAUUAUAUAUGUAUAGUAGGUGUAUUCGUUGAGCGAUUUAGAUCUUAUUUUUUCAAAUUACCGCCAGGAGCGUUUUUUUUUUCGUUCGAUGACGCAGCCGUGUUUAUUCACGGCGAAUAAGAUUAUGGAAACGGUAUUUUUAUACUGUUGUAUAAAAAGCUAUUAUUUUAUACAGAAUAUUAAUAUUGCGGAAACUUGUUCAUAUAUUCGGGAAAAGUCUAAAGAUGAAUAAAAUGAAUAUUUUUAAACAAAUUUUUACCCCUGAUUCUUUUUUUUUUCAACCAAAAAUUUUACUCCACGUAUUUCCAUCUAUUUAUAUAUCCAUUUCCUCCGAUCGAAGUAGGAAAAAAACGCAGUUUCGUCACUGUCAUUUUGAAAUAAUAUUUUUUUUGUGCCACGAUUUCGCAUAACUGUACACGAAUUUGCAUAUUUCGCCGUGAAAUACGUUCCCCAACGAAAUCUCUCGUUUCGAUUUACGCAGAUUGCAACGCAAUCUCCCAUCUAUAUUACCCAGCGCGUCGAAACGAUGUUACUGCUGUUCGAUAAAAGAAGAGUUAACAAAAAAAAAAAAAAAAAAAAAAAAAAAAAAAAAAAAAAAAAAAAAAAGAAAAACGAUAAAUAUCCGGUGGCCGAUCACGUAUUUGCGUAAGAGCGUAUGCAAAGCGUAUGUAAGUAUCGAAGUCUUCGACUGAACCAGGCCGCGCCAGGUCAAACGGUAACAAUGUCGAUAAUAAUAAUUGAAAGAAACCAGCCGACCUGUAUACCAAGAAUAAGAUAUUAUUUCAGUCUUCGAACGGUGUGAGGCGCCGGUGUUAUUUAAACGAUUUCUCGGGGAACAGAUCCCGGAUACCCGUCGAGAUAUUUAAUCUCGAAGGGAGGAAGGGGAAAAAAAAAAGAUAAAGGAAAAUUAAUAUUACGGUUCGCGGUGUUUUGCCUGCACUGUCGCAUUUUUUUUCCCUUCGUUUUAUAGCUGUAACUUCAACGUACAACGUCCCACACGUAAUUUUCUCUAAAUCUAAUUAUCCUACCGCAAAGCGGCUUAAUUUAAACGGGUUACAUCCGUUCUGCUACGCGAAAGUUUGCGCAUAGUUUAAAUUUCAAACGAAAUUCUUUCGCUCGUGCGAGCGAGCGUUGCAUACAAAAGCGUAGCGUAGCGUAUAAAAUAAAUCGGUAUACAUAUUUUCUUAAAUUGUCUUUCUCGCGCGGCUAGUUUUACUCGAGGCUGACCCAUCAUCGAUCCCAACAAUGGCUCGUAAAAGCCGAGCACCGUGGUAUAUGCGCGAUUCCUCGCCGCCAUAAACCGCCGCCCGAUUUCAAUUUCCGCGAAAAAACGCACGUUGGACGCGUGUGCUCGACACUUUGGCUCGCAAGAGAGAACGAGAGAACGAGAAAUAAAGAAAAGGAAGAAAAAAAAGAACGAAAAGAAAGGGAAAAGGAAAGAGAAGAAUAGCGAUAAAGAAUCGCCGUGAGAAAAGAAGAACGCGAACGCAAAGAAAAAAGUGUAGGGUAAUUCGAUAAUUCGAGACAAUGGUCGCGGCCAGGUCUUCCAACAGGCUUUCGUUUCUCGCGCGGAUAUGAACUGGUUAUGAAUUUCAUCCGUAUCAGGUUGGACGAAGGAAAAAUUUCUAUUCCCGAGCCACCAGUGAAUUAAGAUCGGUUUAAUAUCGUUAAGUGGGAGACGGCGGAUGGAACGGCAUUAAAGAAACGCCUCGGGUUAAAGGGACGUUUUAUUAUUUGCCCUUUUUUUAUCCUCUCUCUUAUUCACGGUUAACGCGUUUCGUUUCCACGCGUGUUUCCCCAUAAAGUUUACAUUCUAUUUUCAGGGAUUCGACGAGCGAGUGUCGUCGGGCGCGCGGAUAUUCCACACUGGGUGUGUGUGUGCAAGGAAAUAUGGCAAAAACGGGGAUAAACCGAACGAACGGCGUGCAACGGUUUCGCAGCCAUGGGCGGGAGAUUGAACUUCCGGAUGCUUGUUGACCAAUCGACGAAUCAGGUCGAUCUGCUCGAGCGCCAGUUGGACCGAGUCGAGGUGCUGGGAGGAACAGGGGACGUAAGCUGACCAAAACUGCAACAACCAACAAGGAACGUAGUCGAG